rnacentral:rRNA from 1 species
CCUACGGGAGGCAGCAGUGAGGAAUAUUGGACAAUGGGCGCAAGCCUGAUCCAGCCAUGCCGCGUGCAGGAUGACGGUCCUAUGGAUUGUAAACUGCUUUUGCACAGGAAGAAACAACAUUACGUGUAAUGUCUUGACGGUACUGUGAGAAUAAGGAUCGGCUAACUCCGUGCCAGCAGCCGCGGUAAUACGGAGGAUCCAAGCGUUAUCCGGAAUCAUUGGGUUUAAAGGGUCCGUAGGCGGUUUAGUAAGUCAGUGGUGAAAGCCCAUCGCUCAACGGUGGAACGGCCAUUGAUACUGCUAGACUUGAAUUAUUAGGAAGUAACUAGAAUAUGUAGUGUAGCGGUGAAAUGCUUAGAGAUUACAUGGAAUACCAAUUGCGAAGGCAGGUUACUACUAAUUGAUUGACGCUGAUGGACGAAAGCGUGGGUAGCGAACAGGAUUAGAUACCCUGGUAGUCCACGCCGUAAACGAUGGAUACUAGCUGUUGGGANCGAUCUCAGUGGCUAAGCGAAAGUGAUAAGUAUCCCACCUGGGGAGUACGUUGCAAGAUGAAACUUAAUGAAUUGACCGGNUAGAGACGNGCGAGGAGACGACGAGGGAGAG